AUGAACGCUAGCUACAGGCUUAACACAUGCCAGUCGAGGGGAAACGGCAUCGAAAGCUUGCUUUUGAUGGGCGUCGACCGGCGCACGGGUGAGUAACGCGUAUCCAACCUGCCCAUCACUUGGGAAUAACCUUGCGAAAGUAAGACUAAUGCCCAAUGACAUCCCACGAAGGCAUCCGAAUGGGAUUAAAGAUUUAUCGGUGAUGGAUGGGGAUGCGUCUGAUUAGCUUGUUGGCGGGGUGACGGCCCACCAAGGCAACGAUCAGUAGGGGUUCUGAGAGGAAGGUCCCCCACAUUGGAACUGAGACACGGUCCAAACUCCUACGGGAGGCAGCAGUGAGGAAUAUUGGUCAAUGGGCGAGAGCCUGAACCAGCCAAGUAGCGUGUAGGAUGACGGCCCUAUGGGUUGUAAACUGCUUUUAUAAGGGAAUAAAGUGGGUCACGUGUGACUUUUUGCAUGUACCUUAUGAAUAAGGACCGGCUAAUUCCGUG
rnacentral:rRNA from 1 species